AAAAGCUUUUAAGGGCAGAUGGUGGAUGCCUUGGGUGAUAGAGGCGAUGAAGGACGUACUAAGCUGCGAUAAGCUAUGGGGAGCUGCUAAGAAGCUUUGAUCCAUAGAUUUCCGAAUGGGGCAACCCAGCUAGUAGAGAUACUAGUUAUGUAGGCAACAGAGAGUAGAGAUUGACAAAUGGCGAAAUAUUUUAGAUGAGAAAUUAAUGUUGUGAAGCAAUUUGUGCGGAGACUAGACUUAGUGUCUGUCGCACAAACAAAUUGUGAACUCAUUAAUUUAUCGCCAAAAGAUAAGCCAAGUUUCUAUUGUCUGUUGCCUACAGGCGAACCUAGCGAAGUGAAACAUCUCAGUAGCUAGAGGAAAAGAAAUCAAACGAGAUUCUCCUAGUAGCGGCGAGCGAACGGGGAAAAGGGCAAACCAGUAGCUUGCUACUGGGGUUGAGGACUGCAAUAUCCACUUGAAUAAUGUAGCAGAAGUGUUUGGAAAAACACAUCAUAGAGGGUGAUAGUCCCGUAUGCGAAAUAUUAUUCAUAGGUAGCAGGAUCCAGAGUAGGCCAGGACACGUGAAAUCCGGGCUGAAGCCGGGGAGACCACUCUCCAACCCUAAAUACUACUAUCACACCGAUAGCGAACAAGUACCGUGAGGGAAAGGUGAAAAGAACCGCAGUGAGCGGAGUGAAAUAGAACCUGAAACCAUCUGCCUACAAUCAUUCGGAGCCCUAUGAUUUAUCAGGGUGACGGACUGCCUUUUGCAUAAUGAUCCUGCGAGUUGUGGUAUCUGGCAAGGUUAAGCACACGCGAAGCCGUAGCGAAAGCGAGUCUGAAAGGGCGUUUAGUCAGAUGCUGCAGACCCGAAGCCAAGUGAUCUAUCCAUGGCCAAGUUGAAGCGAGUGUAAUAGCUCGUGGAGGACUGAACUCGUACCCAUUGAAACGGGUUGGGAUGAGCUGUGGAUAGGGGUGAAAGGCCAAACAAACUUGGUGAUAGCUGGUUCUCUUCGAAAUAUAUUUAGGUAUAGCCUCAAGUGAUAGUAAUAGGGGGUAGAGCUCUGAUUGGGCUAGGGCUGCUCACCGCGGUACCAACCCCUGUCAAACUGCAAAUACCUAUUACCGUAUCUUGGGAGUCAGGCGGUGGGUGAUAAAAUCAAUCGUCAAAAGGGGAACAACCCAGACUACCAACUAAGGUCCCAAAGUUCUAUUCUAAGUGGAAAAUGAUGUGAAGUUACUCAGACAACCAGGAGGUUGGCUUAGAAGCAGCCAUCCUUUAAAGAAAGCGUAACAGCUCACUGGUCUAGUGAUUUUGCGCAGAAAAUAUAACGGGGCUAAGAUAGACACCGAAGUUGUAGAUUGUGCUGAUGCACAGUGGUAGAAGAGCGUUCGUAUCAGCGUUGAAGGCAUACCGGUAAGGAGUGCUGGAGCGAUGCGAAGUGAGCAUGCAGGAAUGAGUAGCGAUAAAAGUGGUGAGAAUCCACUUCGCCGAAAGUCUAAGGUUUCCUACGCGAUGCUCGUCAUCGUAGGGUUAGUCGGGUCCUAAGACAAGUCAGAAAUGGGUAGUCGAUGGAAAAUGGGUUAAUAUUCCCAUACCAACAUUAGUGUGCGAUGGGGGGACGCAUAGGGCUAAGUAGCGUUAGCUGAUGGAAGUGCUAAUUUAAAAGCGUAGAUUGAGAGAUAGGUAAAUCCGCUCUUGUAUUCGAAACUUGAAUAGCUUGUUGCGAUCUUCGGAUCAAGAUGAGUGCUACUGACGCCGUCGUGCCAAGAAAAGCCUCUAAGUUUAGCUAAUGUUGCCCGUACCGCAAACCGACACAGGUAGAUGAGAUGAGUAUUCUAAGGCGCGUGAAAGAACUCUGGUUAAGGAACUCUGCAAACUAGCACCGUAAGUUCGCGAUAAGGUGUGCCUAAGCAAUUAGGUCUCAGCAAAGAGUCCCUCCCGACUGUUUACCAAAAACACAGCACUUUGCAAACUCGUAAGAGGAAGUAUAAGGUGUGACGCCUGCCCGGUGCUCGAAGGUUAAGAGGAUUCGUUAGCAGCAAUGCGAAGCGUUGAAUUGAAGCCCGAGUAAACGGCGGCCGUAACUAUAACGGUCCUAAGGUAGCGAAAUUCCUUGUCGGUUAAAUACCGACCUGCAUGAAUGGCGUAACGAGAUGGGAGCUGUCUCAACCAGGGAUUCAGUGAAAUUGUAGUGGAGGUGAAAAUUCCUCCUACCCGCGGCAAGACGGAGAGACCCCGUGGACCUUUACUGCAGCUUGGCACUGCCGAUGGGAGCAUUAUGCGCAGGAUAGGUGGGAGGCUUUGAAGUCUUCACUCUGGUGGAGAUGGAGCCAUCGUUGAGAUACCACCCUUAAUGUUUCUGUCUGCUAACUAGCUUGAGUUAUCCUCAAGUAGGACAAUGCCUGGUGGGUAGUUUGACUGGGGCGGUCGCCUCCUAAAAAGUAACGGAGGCUUGCAAAGGUUGGCUCAUUGCGGUUGGAAAUCGCAAGAAGAGUGUAAUGGCAUAAGCCAGCCUGACUGUAAGACAAACAAGUCAAGCAGAGACGAAAGUCGGUCAUAGUGAUCCGGUGAUUCUGUGUGGAAGGGUCAUCGCUCAAAGGAUAAAAGGUACCCCGGGGAUAACAGGCUGAUCUCCCCCAAGAGCUCACAUCGACGGGGAGGUUUGGCACCUCGAUGUCGGCUCAUCGCAUCCUGGGGCUGGAGCAGGUCCCAAGGGUAUGGCUGUUCGCCAUUUAAAGCGGUACGCGAGCUGGGUUCAGAACGUCGUGAGACAGUUCGGUCCCUAUCUGCCGUGGGCGUAGGAAAGUUGAGGAGAGCUGUCCCUAGUACGAGAGGACCGGGAUGGACACGCCACUGGUGUAAGAGUUGUUCUGCCAAGAGCAUCGCUCUGUAGCUACGCGUGGAUGUGAUAACCGCUGAAAGCAUCUAAGCGGGAAGCCAACUCCAAGAUUAACUUUCCCUGAAGGUCGCAGCAAGACUAGCUGCUUGAUAGGGUAGGUGUGUAAGCAUAGUAAUAUGUUCAGCUGACUACUACUAAUAGACCGUUUGGCUUUUUAUAUAA
rnacentral:rRNA from 1 species